rnacentral:rRNA from 1 species
CCUACGGGAGGCAGCAGUGCGGAAUAUUGGUCAAUGGGCGUAAGCCUGAACCAGCCAAGUCGCGUGAGGGAUGAAGGUUCUCUGGAUCGUAAACCUCUUUUAUAAGGGCAUAAAGUGUGGGACGUGUCCUAUUUUGUCUGUACCUUCUGAAUAAGGAUCGGCUAACUCCGUGCAAGCAGCCGCGGUAAUACGGAGGAUCAGAGCGUUAUCCGGAUUUAUUGGGUUUAAAGGGUGCGUAGGCGGCCUUUUCAGUCAGCGGUGAAAGUCUGUGGCUCAACCAUAGAAUUGCCGUUGAUACUGGGUAGCUAGAGUAUGUUUGAGGCAGGUGGAAUGCGUGGGGUAGCGGUGAAAUGCUUAGAGAUCACGCAGAACCCCGAUUGCGAAGGCAGCCUGCCAAGCCAUGACUGACGCUGAUGCACGAAAGCGUGGGGAGCAAACAGGAUUAGAUACCCCUGUAGUC